rnacentral:rRNA from 1 species
GACGUAGGGCGCGAGCGUUGUCCGGAUUUAUUGGGCGUAAAGAGCUCGUAGGCGGCUUGUCGCGUCGACUGUGAAAUCCCGCGGCUCAACUGCGGGUCUGCAGUCGAUACGGGCAGGCUAGAGUUCGGUAGGGGAGACUGGAAUUCCUGGUGUAGCGGUGGAAAUGAUGCAGAUAUCAGGAGGAACACCGGUGGCGAAGGCGGAUCUCUGGGCCGAUACUGACGCUGAGGAGCGAAAGCGUGGGGAGCGAACAGG